GGACAAAGAAAGAUAACUCCAAUUUUCAAAGAAGAUUUCAUAAAGUAUUGGUUUUAGGUGAUUCAACAACCAUUCUGGACAAAGAAAGAUAACUCCAAUUUAUUGUCUUGAAACUACAAAAAUGCUUGUUUUUGGCCCCUCUUUUGCCCUUUAUUCCUAGACUGUUUGCUCCAUAACCCUUAAAAUAUAUCCCAACCUUCUACUUAUGGUAUUAAACAUUGUGGUACAAUUUCAGAACAAUUGAAAUACUUAUACACAACUUAUUGUCCUGACACUAGAUAAAUGCUUGUUUUGGGCCCCUAAUUCCUAAACCUUAGGGACUGUAACCCCCAAAAUCAAUCCCAAGCUUCCUUUUGUGGUUAUAAACAUUGUGUUAAAAUUUUAUUGAUUUCUAUUUACUUAUACUAAAGUUGUCCUGACACUAGAUAAAUGCUUGUUUUGGGCCCUAAUUCCUAAACCUUAGGGACCAUAACCCCCAAAAUCAAUCCCAAGCUUCCUUUUGUGGUUAUAAACAUUGUGUUAAAAUUUUAUUGAUUUCUAUUGACUUAUACUAACGUUAUUAUCCGGAAACAAUCCGUCUUCGGACGACG
rnacentral:lncRNA from 1 species